rnacentral:rRNA from 1 species
ACGGCGUAGGAAUUCAUAGGAACGUACCCUCGGGUCGGGGAUAGCUACGGGAAACUGUAGGUAAUACCCGAUGAUCUCUGCGGAGCAAAGGUGUGAUUCCGCCCGAGGAGCGGCUUAUGCGAUAUUAGCUAGUUGGUGAGGUAAUGGCUCACCAAGGCGAAGAUGUCUAGGGGGUGUGAGAGCAUGGCCCCCACGACCGGAACUGAGACACUGUCCGGACACCUACGGGUGGCUGCAGUCGAGAAUCUUCCGCAAUGGACGAAAGUCUGACGGAGCGACGCCGCGUGCGGGAUGAAGGCCCUUGGGUUGUAAACCGCUGUCAGAGGGGAUGAAAUCUUCGGAGGUACUCCUCCGAAGUUGACAGAGCCUCAAAGGAAGCACGGGCUAAGUACGUGCCAGCAGCCGCGGUAACACGUACUGUGCGAACGUUAUUCGGAAUCACUGGGCUUAAAGGGUGCGUAGGCGGCGAUUCAAGUCAGAUGUGAAAUGCCUGAGCUCAACUGAGGCAUUGCGUUUGAAACUGAUUCGCUUGAGUAUUUCAGGGGUGUGCGGAACUGCCAGUGGAGCGGUGAAAUGUGUUGA